rnacentral:rRNA from 2 species
CGGCGAGUGAAGCGGCAACAGCUCAAAUUUGAAAUCUGGCGUCUUUGGCGUCCGAGUUGUAAUUUGCAGAGGGCGCUUUGGCAUUGGCAGCGGUCCAAGUUCCUUGGAACAGGACGUCACAGAGGGUGAGAAUCCCGUACGUGGUCGCUAGCCUUUACCGUGUAAAGCCCCUUCGACGAGUCGAGUUGUUUGGGAAUGCAGCUCUAAAUGGGAGGUAAAUUUCUUCUAAAGCUAAAUACUGGCCAGAGACCGAUAGCGCACAAGUAGAGUGAUCGAAAGAUGAAAAGCACUUUGGAAAGAGAGUUAAAAAGCACGUGAAAUUGUUGAAAGGGAAGCGCUUGCAGCCAGACUUGCCUGUAGUUGCUCAUCCGGGUUUUUACCCGGUGCACUCUUCUACGGGCAGGCCAGCAUCAGUUUGGGCGGUUGGAUAAAGGUCUCUGUCAUGUACCUCCCCUCGGGGAGAUCUUAUAGGGGAGACGACAUGCAACCAGCCUGGACUGAGGUCCGCGCAUCUGCUAGGAUGCUGGCGUAAUGGCUGUAAGCGGCCCGUCUUGAAACACGGACCAAGGAGUCUAACAUCUAUGCGAGUGUUUGGGUGUCAAGCCCGAACGCGUAAUGAAAGUGAACGGAGGUGGGAACCUUUCGGGGUGCACCAUCGACCGAUCCUGAUGUCUUCGGAUGGAUUUGAGUAAGAGCAUA